rnacentral:ncRNA from 1 species
UUGGUGUGAUAACAGAGGUGUAACUCUGCCAAUUAAUGGGUUGCUAUAAAUUCUUACUAUAUGCUGGAACAUCCUAAAUAUCUGAAUUCUUCCUUUUAUUUUUGAAUAAUUAAAUUUAAUUUAGGGCAACCAGCAGGAAACUAAAGUAAUUUAAUUUUAAUUAUGAUUAGAAUCCUCAGAGACUACACGUAAGACACAUAUUAUUAAUACUAUAUAUUUAAAUAUGUGAAGAUAUAGUCCAUCCUUUUCAAAAGAAAAGU